UUAUCCUUUCCCCCACCAGAUUUUCUUCUUCUUCAUCCAUGCUCCACGCCAUUCUUGAAGCUUACAUGCCAUUUUCUCUUUAUCCACCAUGAAAUCAAGUUUUCUUCACUUUCCUUUCCAUGUUUUUCUUUUCCUUUCUUCUCCAAACUUCUUGAGCACUAAAUUGACAGCCUUUAACCCCAAUUUCCAGCAUAUCUAAACCCUAAGAGGAGAAGAAAGAAAAAGAGAGAAAGGAAGAAAAAGCUUGGUUUUGGUGAUUCAGGCAAGAAACGGUAAGAAUUCUUGUUUUUGGCUUAAGUAGUCUUUGAAAAUGAGUUAGUGACUUAGAGAAAUGUCUUGUGGCAGCAAAGAUUGACUUGAUUGGAGAAAAAUUGAUAACAUGUAAGCCAAUAAACCCAUGGGCACAUGAAGGACUCAAAGUGGAAAAGGAAAAUGGUGAGCUUAACACUAUGUUUUCAAGCCUACGGUUAGUUGAAUAUUGUGAGGAAUUAUGGUUGUUGAAAGGAUUUAUUUGCCUAAGCUAGUUUAAAAUUAUUAAGAUUGUAUGGCAUGUUGUUUGAAAGAAAUGAAAAAGGAAUAUUGUGGAUGGAGGAUUAAGAAACGAAGUAUUGAAAGUUAGAUAGAUAACAAUACGUGUAAACUAAGAAAUAAUCGAGUGAAAGUGAGAAUGAUUGUUGUUGCCAUAUAUGUGGAUUAUGUCUAGAAAUAUAAGAUUGAUUUGGGUGGAAAUUAUUUAGAAAGGUUGAAGUAGACACGUGACAUCAUAAUUAAGUUGUCGGUGAUAUAAUUUAAGGAAUUACGUAAGCAAUGGAUAUAAGUAAUUUUAGUAAAAAUGUAUUAACAUGUGAGUUAAUUGAAGAUGGUUUCAUGAUAGGAUGAAAAAUAUAAAUUUGAGUAAGGAUUAAUUGAUUGAAGUGCUGCCCGUAUACGUAUAUAAUUAAAUAUAUUGAGUUUGUAUUAUUGUUAGGAAGUGCAAAAAUAAGGUUAGGGUACUGUGGUGGCAUGCUAGAGUAAACAUCGAGCGACCGGCCAGUGAAAAUAAUUAGACACCUCCGAUCAAAUAGCAAUGUAAUAUCCCAUUAUCGUAAGGUGAGUGAACUUGCAUAAAAUGUUUUAGGAGUAAGGCACAUGUGGUUGAUUGAGACAUUUUAAUUGUUUUUCUAUAAAAAUGCAUGGGAACAAGCCUUUAGUGAAAUGUUUUUGUGAUGUGGAACAUGAUUGUGAUGAAUCUAUGUACCUCUAUAUGAUAUUGAUAUGUAUAUAUAUAAAAAAUAGUAAUAUAUGAUAUGUAUUGUUAACAAAUUUUGUGUAAUUGAUGUAACCAUGCAUGUGCGGAGUGGGUAGUGCACAUGCCGGUUGAAUGACAAUGUUGUGAUAAUUGUAACUGUGCAUGUGAGGAAUGGGCAAUGCACAUGUCGGUUGAAUGACAAUGUCAUGAUAAUUACAACCGUGCAUGUGCAAAGUGGGUAGUGCACAUGCCAGUAAUGAUGCACACGAGUUGGGUGAGAUGGGGUGUUCGGCUAUGUGCACGAUGUACGGGGAUGCACAUGAGCUGGGUGAGGUGAUGGUGGUGUAUUUGCUUAUAUAUAUAUUUACUAUAUAAAGGUGUUUGGAUUUAAUAUGUGAUUGCAUUGACUGUUGAAAACUUGAGUAUUGUCAAUUUGUUCAAUUUAAUGUGCAAUGUGGCAUGAAUGGAAUUUUCUUGAUGGCAGUGAAAGCCCCUUGAUUUUAUCUUGUCAGGCCCUGCUCUAUAAUAUACUUGCCAUGUCAUUCAUGUACUUGAUAGCAUGUCUGUAUACUUAGAUGCCUCGAAAAAUCGUUAAAAGUCGGUAUUGUACUUAGUGGUACAAUUAAGUCGAUUAAAGUCUUGAACUAGUCCAAAUAGAGAUUGUGGGAUGUAUUUGAGAGUUAUUGAACCUUAGAAUGUCUUAAAAUGGUGAUUUGGAGUUCGAGGAUUAAUUUGAAAUCCAUUUGGGAAUUUUCAUAACGUAAGGGCAAAAUAGUCAUUUUACCACCCAAGGGCAAAAAUUGGAAUGUUGGACAAGAUUUUUGACCAAGUUUGACUAGUUGGAACAUAAUUUGAAUUUGAGGAGUGAAAAUUUUCAAUUCCGAGCAUAAGGGCAAAACGAUCAUUUCAAAUGUCCACGAGGACGUAAUUAUAAUUUUUGAAAUUUUACACCACCAUGACACUUGUUAAGCCCAUGAAUUUCACCUAUUAUCAUUUUAUACUUUGGAUAAUUAUGGGAUUAUAUGUGGUGGAAAGGAAAAACCUUAUUAGUUAAGUUUUAAAUGUGAACCAAUUAUAUGUUGCCAUGUGUCAAGUUUUUAUUAUUUUAUAAUUUCCUUUAUAAACUCAACAUAAACUCUCCCAUUCACUCUCUCAUUGUUGUUCAAGCCAAAGAACAAAGGGGGAAAGAAUAAAAAAACCCCAUGGAGGAAAAGUUCAAGAGAAAUUCAUUGGAUUUUCGAAAAACGAAGCGGUCGGGG
rnacentral:lncRNA from 1 species